GACGAACGCUGGCGGCGUGCCUAACACAUGCAAGUCGAACGGAACUGUUUUGAAAGAUUUCUUCGGAAUGAAUUUGAUUUAGUGUAGUGGCGGACGGGUGAGUAACGCGUGAGUAACCUGCCUUCAAGAGGGGAAUAACAUUCUGAAAAGAAUGCUAAUACCGCAUGACAUAUCGGAACCACAUGGUUUUGAUCUCAAAGAUUUUAUCGCUUGAAGAUGGACUCGCGUCCGAUUAGUUAGUUGGUGAGGUAACGGCGCACCAAGACCGCGAUCGGUAGCCGGACUGAGGGGUUGAGCGGCCACAUUGGGACGGAGACACGGCCCAGACUCCUACGGGAGGGAGCAGUGGGGGAUAUUGCGCAAUAGGGGCAAGCCUGACGCAGCAACGCCGCGUGAAGGAUGAAGGUUUUCGGAUUGUAAACUUCUUUUAUUAAGGACGAAAAAUGACGGUACUUAAUGAAUAAGCUCCGGCUAACUACGUG
rnacentral:rRNA from 1 species